AGAGUUUGAUUAUGGCUCAGGAUGAACGCUAGCUACAGGCUUAACACAUGCAAGUCGAGGGGCAUCAUGACGAUAGCUUGCUAUUGUUGAUGGCGGCCGGCGCACGGGUGAGUAACGCGUAUCCAACCUUCCCCUUAGUAGGGCAUAGCCCGGCGAAAGUCGGAUUAAUACCCUAUGUUAUUCGUAGAGGACAUCUGAAGUGAAUCAAAGAUUUAUCGCUAAGGGAUGGGGAUGCGUCCGAUUAGGUAGUCGGCGGGGUAACGGCCCACCGAGCCUUCGAUCGGUAGGGGUUCUGAGAGGAAGGUCCCCCACACUGGUACUGAGACACGGACCAGACUCCUACGGGAGGCAGCAGUGAGGAAUCUUGGUCAAUGGACGGGAGUCUGAACCAGCCAAGUAAGCGUGCAGGACGACGGCCCUAUGGGUUGUAAACUGCUUUUAUACGGGGAUAAAGUCGCCCACGUGUGGGUGUUUGUAGGUACCGUAUGAAUAAGGACCGGCUAAUUCCGUGCCAGCAGCCGC
rnacentral:rRNA from 1 species